AGCGAACGCUGGCGGCAGGCUUAACACAUGCAAGUCGAGCGCCCGUAGCAAUACGGGAGCGGCAGACGGGUGAGUAACACGUGGGAACGUGCCUUUCGGUUCGGAACAACCCAGGGAAACUUGGGCUAAUACCGGAUACGCCCUUCACGGGGAAGGAUUAUCGCCGAAGAUCGGCCCGCGUCUGAUUAGCUAGUUGGUGGGGUAACGGCGUCACCAAGGCGACGAUCAGUAGCUGGUCUGAGAGGAUGAUCAGCCACACUGGGACUGAGACACGGCCCAGACUCCUACGGGAGGCAGCAGUGGGGAAGUCUUGCGCAAUGGGCGAAGCCUGAUGCAGCGACGUCGCGUGAAGGAUGAAAUC
rnacentral:rRNA from 1 species